AUGGCCUCCUUCAAGCUGACGAACCUGUGCUUCAUAGUUGUCAUGUUCUUUGCUGUCUUCUCCUGUUGCAGAGGGCAGGGAGGUGGUGGUGCUGGAGCAGGAGCGGGAGGCGGAGGGGGGUCGGGCAUUGGUGCGAUAGUACCAGGGACGCAGGACUCGGUCCAGAUUGUGGCGCAAGCUGCUCUCUGCUUUGACAACAGACCAGUGCUCACCGGGUGCCUGCAGGCGAUGGGCAUCAAUGCCAGCGGCACCGGCGCGAGCAUGCCGCCGCCUGCCCCGGGCGGCGCGUCGACGGCGAUCAUGUGCAGCCCGCCGUGCUUCGGGCACGUGACCAUGAUGAUGAGCUGCGUCAACGCCAUCUUCGGCAACUUCGUCAGCUACAACCCCGGCCUCAUGCAGGGCGUCCAGGCCGUCUUCCAGAUGUCCUGCGGCAACGUCAACGGCCCAGGAGGAGCCGGAGCAGGAGCCGGCGGUGCUGCCGGUGGAAUGGGAGGCGGGCCGGCUGGUAACGCUGGUGGUGGUGCUGGUGCCGGCAGUGCCAGUGGUGGAGUUGGAGGCGGGGCUGCCGGUGGCAUUCCUAACGGCAUCGGCGGGCCCGGUGGCAUUCCCAACAGUAUGGGCGGUGCCGCUGGCGGAGGCGGUGGCGCGGCCGGUGCUAGCGGUGGAGGUGCCAGUGGUACUACUAACAGCAUCGGCGGGGCCAUGGGCGGAGGCGCCGGUGCCGGAGGAGCUAGCGGUGGGGCUGGAGGCGGCAACGACACUACCAACGGCGGCGCUGCCACCGGUGCCAUUGGCAGCGACAACAUCACAAGCGUUUCACCCAAUGCAGGCUCGCACGUGGCGGUGAGCAACCAAAGUCAGCCGACCAGCAGCGCGGGCGGGCCCACUCUCAGUCUCAAGGGCGCCUGCUCCUCCGUGCUGGCGAUCUGGGCCGGCGCAUGGCUGGUGCUGUUCUAG
rnacentral:rRNA from 1 species